ACAACACACAGAAAAUAAUUCAGCUAAAAUUUGAACAUUUGAAUAAUUAUUUUUUUAAUUUUUGGUUUCUUAAAUAGACAAAUUAUUGUCAUGUAUUUAAAAACUAUACUAAUCUUUUGUUCAGUAUGUUUUUUUACCGACACAAUGAGCAAAGGACUUAAUGCAAUCCAAAUACAAGCUUUUACAUUAUUGCUAUACAAAUUUAAUAAACACAGAACAGUUAAUGCUUUAUCAAAAAGCAAUACGAUUAUAACGAAGAAGAUCUCAUAAACGUAAGAAUUUUCAAGAUUCUGAAAUUUUUGGUUAGUGAAGACAAGUUUGGCGAUACCAAAAGCGUAGAAAACCUGAAUAUAAAUGAGGUUGAAAUAAUUUCAAAUAAAUUUUGUAAUCUUGACACAGACAACAAUUGUUUUAUAAAUAAGGAAGGAUACAAUACUUUGAUUGAUUUUGUUGGCGAAUGUGCUCUUACUGGAAGUGUAAAUAUAAAAACACUGGACGACAAAAACAUUGAAAAUCUCAGAGAGUAUGUGAUUGAUUUGAAGAAAACUUUACAAUCACAAUACAACUUAAGUGAUGUUAUGUUAUAUGUAUUACUAUUAAAGGCAAAUUUUAAUAAAACAGAUUCUGGUAUACUUGAAACAUUGAAUCAUUUCGAGAAUAUAUUUUAUUCUAUCUCAAUGGAUUAUAGUGUAAACGAGAUAGAUAUACAAUAUCAUAUGAAUUAGAUGGAUCAUAUACGUGAUAAAAUAUUAUUUUGUUUAAAUAUACUAACACUCAUGUUUUUUAGCUAUAACUUCAAAUCUUCUAAAAUUAUAAAAAGUUGUAAUCCCUAUA